GAUGAACGCUAGCUACAGGCUUAUCACAUGCAAGUCGAGGGGAAACGACAUCGAAAGCUUGCUUUUGAUGGGCGUCGACCGGCGCACGGGUGAGUAACGCGUAUCCAACCUGCCCACCACUUGGGGAUAACCUUGCGAAAGUAAGACUAAUACCCAAUGACGUCUCUAGAAGACAUCUGAAGGAGAUUAAAGAUUUAUCGGUGAUGGAUGGGGAUGCGUCUGAUUAGCUUGUUGGCGGGGUAACGGCCCACCAAGGCGACGAUCAGUAGGGGUUCUGAGAGGAAGGUCCCCCACAUUGGAACUGAGACACGGUCCAAACUCCUACGGGAGGCAGCAGUGAGGAAUAUUGGUCAAUGGGCGAGAGCCUGAACCAGCCAAGUAGCGUGCAGGAUGACGGCCCUAUGGGUUGUAAACUGCUUUUAUAAGGGAAUAAAGUGAGUCUCGUGAGACUUUUUGCAUGUACCUUAUGAACAAGGACCGGCUAAUUCCGUGCCAGCAGCCGCCGUAA
rnacentral:rRNA from 1 species